UAUCUGUUUUACCCUUUACCAAUCAAAAUAUGACUUAUGUGUCUUUUGGUUCAUUUCUUCUCCAAUUCUCUUUUUUUUGGUCUUAUCUUUUACUUCUCACUUAUCUUUUUCUUUGGAUAUUUUUUGAUAUUACUUAUCUUCUUCACUAUCAAUUCCCAUUUUCGGACUUCUCUUCUUCGUUCUCACUUUCCGUCACCGGAUGAGUUUGGAUUCGGAUGUUCUGUGAUGAAUUUAAAACCCUAUUUUGCUUAAUUUUCAUGAAGAUGGCGAUGCUUAAUUCUUUUACAGAAGUCUCGUCGUUGUGCUGACUCCGGCGUUAUUUAUGGCGCCCGACAUAAGAAUUGGUGAGGUGGCGGUCCACGAGUACCACGGCAUAGGGAAGCCUGUGUGCAUAUCUUUAGCAAAUAAUGGCAUAUGCAGUGCUCAUAAAAACCCUCCUUUGUGAAAGAUUAUUACCACUAGAGAGGAAGCUAAUACUUGAUUUGUUGUUAUCUAGCGGGAUGUACGAGUAGAACCAAGCAUUGCAGGAGCUAUCGACUAAGGUGUUUCAACCCAUAUGGAGGAAUGCAAAAACAGUCUUGAAGAUCCUCAACAUUCUAGAGAUUCUGGAAAUCAUCAGUUUUGUCCAUUCGUUGGUAUGAAUGUAUGACGGAAGCACCUGUAACUAUAGGGGUUUUGAGGCCAUGAAAUUAAGUCACUGAAUUAGCAAGUGGUCAUAUAAUUCCAAGAGUUGGAUUUUAAACUCAUUCGUAGUGGUAAUUAUUAUUAUUUAUUUA